UACGGAGGGGGCUAGCGUUGUUCGGAAUUACUGGGCGUAAAGCGCGCGUAGGCGGAUCUGCAAGUCGGGGGUGAAAUCCCGAGGCUCAACCUCGGAACUGCCUUCGAUACUGCGGGUCUCGAGUCCGGGAGAGGUGAGUGGAAUUCCUAGUGUAGAGGUGAAAUUCGUAGAUAUUAGGAAGAACACCAGUGGCGAAGGCGGCUCACUGGACAGGUCCUGACGCUGAGGCGCGAAAGCGUGGGGAGCAAACAGG
rnacentral:rRNA from 1 species